ensembl:lncRNA
ACAUCUUAGAGACCCCCAGACAGCCCGGGGAGAUGCCUGUUUUAAUCCAGGUCUCAUAAAUACUUCCUGGCACCGCCACCACAGAGUCCAAAGCACGCGGGGAUGAGGGUUCUAGGAGCGAGACCAACUUUUCGAGUUUCCUGCUGCUGUCUGGACGAUGAAACGUGAACAAAGUGUGCACAUAUGUCAUCAUAAAGUAAUGCCCAGCUAGGUGCUAUCGGGGAAGGCAAAGUAUGCUGGCUACAGGAAGUGAUACCGUACGCUGACAAUCACACCGUACAACAGCGCCAAACGACUAUUCAACCACUUACCAGACACAUAUGAAAAAUCCAAAAUGUUUUAUUUUAUUUUUUUUCCCUUAAAUAGAGAUAACCAGUAAACAAUUUUCAGAACUUGGAAGUUUAAAAACGUGCAUAUAAAAAUGGGCAUUAUAUACUUUUUAUUGAAUGUGGAUUGACUGCAGUCUGCUAAGAAAAAUGGGGUGUGGGUACUGAAGAAAAGGAGUCGUCUUUUUUUAAGGCUUGCUUGUGAAAGGAACAGUUGUAAAAACAAAAUUGCUUGAAGCAGGGUCAGCUUAGUGCUUCACAGUUUGACUGCUUCUCUAAGAGGAGCCCUUCCUGCGCACGUGCAUUCAAAAAUCACAAAAAAGUACAAAGACAAACACCUAAAACACACUGCGUCAAGUGCAGCACUGACUUUGGUCAAAUUAAAAAAAAA